GGGUGAGUAACGCGUAAUCAACCUGCCCUUCAGAGGGGGAUAACAACGGGAACCCGUUGCUAAUACCGCGUACGAUUCACGAGCGGCAUCGCUUGUGAAUGAAAGGUGGCCUCUAUAUAUAAGCUAUCGCUGAAGGAGGGGAUUGCGUCUGAUUAGCUAGUUGGAGGGGUAACGGCCCACCAAGGCAAUGAUCAGUAGCCGGUCUGAGAGGAUGAACGGCCACAUUGGGACUGAGACACGGCCCAAACUCC
rnacentral:rRNA from 1 species